rnacentral:rRNA from 1 species
ACUGCUCAGUAACACGUGGACAAUCUGGCCUGAAGUGGAGAAUAAUCCCGGGAAACUGGGGGUAAUACUCCAUAGUUCGUGAGUACUGGAAUGUCUUACGAACGAAAGAUCCGUCGCUUCAGGAUGAGUCUGCGGCUGAUUAGGUAGUUGUUGUGGUAACGGCCCAACAAGCCUAUGAUCGGUACGGGUUGUGGGAGCAAGAGCCCGGAGAUGGAUUCUGAGACACGAAUCCAGGCCCUACGGGGCGCAGCAGGCGCGAAAACUUUACCAUGCGGGCAACCGUGAUAAGGAAACCCCGAGUGCCAGCAUAGGCUGGCUGUCCGCCAGUUUAAAAAACUGGCGAAGAAAGGGCCGGGCAAGACCGGUGCCAGCCGCCGCGGUAAUACCGGCGGCUCGAGUGGUGGCCACUAUUACUGGGCUUAAAGGGUCCGUAGCUUGAUAUGCAAGUCUUUUGAGAAAUCCGCCAGCUUAACUGGCGGGCGUUCAGGGGAAACUGCAUUUCUAGGGACCGGGAGAGGUGAGAGGUACUGCCGGGGUAGGAGUGAAAUCCUGUAAUCCCGGUGGGACCACCUAUAGCGAAGGCAUCUCACCAGAACGGGUCCGACAGUGAGGGACGAAAGCUGGGGGAGCAAACCGGAUUAGAUACCCGGGUAGUCCCAGCUGUAAACGAUGCGCGUUAGGUGUGUCAGUGACCACGUGUCAUUGAGGUGCCGAAGGGAAACCGUGAAACGCGCCGCCUGGGGAGUACGGUCGCAAGGCUGAAACUUAAAGGAAUUGGCGGGGGAGCAC